rnacentral:rRNA from 1 species
AACGAACGCUGGCGGCAUGCCUAACACAUGCAAGUCGAACGAGACCUUCGGGUCUAGUGGCGCACGGGUGCGUAACGCGUGGGAACCUGCCCUUAGGUUCGGAAGAACUCCCCGAAAGGGGUGCUAAUACCGGAUAAUGUCUUCGGACCAAAGAUUUAUCGCCUUUGGAUGGGCCUGCGUUGGAUUAGCUGGUUGGUAGGGUAAAAGCCUACCAAGGCGACGAUCCAUAGCUGGUCUGAGAGGAUGAUCAGCCACACUGGGACUGAGACACGGCCCAGACUCCUGCGGGAGGCAGCAGUGGGGAAUAUUGGACAAUGGGCGAAAGCAUGAUCCAGCAAUGCCGCGUGAGUGAUGAAGGCCUUAGGGUUGUAAAGCUCUUUUACCCGGGAUGAUAAUGACAGUACCGGGAGAAUAAGCUCCGGCUAACUCCGUG